rnacentral:lncRNA from 1 species
UCCCCACCUCAUAACCAUCGGCCUUGAAAGAAGCAUCGGCAUUCACAGAAGCGUUGAAGUCCUUGAGAAGGGUAAAUCCACUGGCUUUGACAGAAAAGAGCGCUUCGGAGCGGUCAAAGUCAGGGUACGAAACAGGGUAAAAGUACAAGCGGAUGAACUUUUGGCCGGCGGUGAGGUUAAAUCUGUAAGUAAAUUCAGAGCGAGAAAGCCGAACUGUGGUGUAAGGAAUUUGGAGGGCAGAGGACGAGGGAAGUGCUUCUUUGAACACGGAUGUGUUACUACCAGCUGCUUGGUGUACAUCUAUGGGGGUAAACUUUGACUUGAUAUCUCCACUCCAAUUUCUUUCAUCAUAUUCAUUAAAUAACUGGCCGGGAGAGCCGCAUUUAACAGUGAUAUCUUCCACCGGAGUGUAGAUAGGUGGGGGAUCGGCGGCGACGAGUGUGGUGGCAAUGAUUAUGUGCAGAAACAAGGAAAGGGACAGAUGAGACAUGAAAAUUGGUUUCGUCAUGGUAAAUUGUAUGAAGGUGUUAAAUUGUUGCUUGGGUUGUAUGCAUGAGUACACUGAUCAGUUCUUGUUUAUAGAUGUGUCAAAUGUGUGGUUGUGUGUUUCUCUCUCGCUAGAAAUUGCUGAGAUUUAAGUGGGUCAUACGAUCAGGAAAGACUUUUCAAGUCAAGUUUUGGAAUAAAGAUUCUCGAUUAACAUCUAUCAGUCAAGUUAUAUCUUCUUUCUUGUGUAUACGUAGGCAGUGCGCUUGACGAAUAAUCAACGAAGUCUUCGGCAUGGAUGUCAUCCAAUUUAAGGGUCUUUUUUUAUUUUUCUUUAUUUUUUUAUUUUUUUUAUUUUUUAUUUUUUGAGUUGAGCGAUAUUGUCGUUAAGUUAGAAAUUAGUUUGCCAUUGAUGGAGUUUGAACCCACGCCGUUAUGUAAAGGCGCCACUCCUCUCCACCACUGUAGUAGAGGACCACCUGCUCCAAUUUAGGGGUCUUGUUGCUUAUUAGAUGAGUUUAAUUCCUUAAGUUUCAAAGUGUAUCAAAUGCACGCUCGUUUGAUUCUAUAAAUGCCAAAAACAGUUCAAAUACAUUUCAAAAGGAAAACUGUGUACUUUUGACACCUAAUUCAAGCAUUCGAUAUUUUGAGUACUCAUUCUUAGGUGCCUAAUAGGAAAUUAAAUGUGUCUAUUUUCUUAAAUUUCAAAGUGUGUCAAAUGCACACUCGUUUAAUCCCGUGAAUACCAAAACUCUUUUAUAAGUGAUGGCGUUCUUAUGUAAUUUUCAUUAAUAGGCAAAUGGAUAAUCCUCUAUUAGUAGUAGGCGAAGACCGUGCUAAUAAUUUUCAUCCUUGAUUGCUGCCCCUCUGUAUUGAUCGGAGGCAAAGCAAUGUGGUUAAAAUAAGAAAUGAAUAUUGCUCGUUUGAGUAACUUUUAUAAUUUUGUUUGAUAAAAUUAUGUCACGUCUAAAGAGAAGAAGUUGAGCAAAGUAAGGAUGUGCUAUCUACACACCUCUUUUUACUUCUCACACACCCUUAUUGAUUUUUGUCCUUUGAUCUUCUUCAAUUCAUCCGAUCUGACGGCCGAAAAUUAAAAAAGUGUGUAAGAAGUAAAAAUAGGUGUGUGGAUAUCACACCACAACAAAGUAUUGUUCAUUGGCAAUGCAAACCCCUUGCCCCACCCCCACCCACCUUCGUCCCUUUGGCUCUUUGGAUUUAUGCAUGCAUAAUGCAUACUAGUCUUCUACGCACUACGAGACAAUUGUUGCUUGCAGUAAUCUUAUCUCCUAUAUAGUGCGUCAUUCUAUCUUCACAGGUCACAAUCAAUCACUGCACUAGUAACUGGGAAAAAAAAUGAAUGAGCAUCCUCUGCAGAUUCUCUUUGCGAAGAUCCUGAGAAUCUUUAAAUCCGUUUAUCGUAUAUCGUACGGUUUGAAAUUAUUUUAAAUACUUUUAUUUAAAAUUGAAUAUGAAUAGUACCUGAUGAAAACUGACUGCACCAUGUACGAUGAACGAACAUGAUUUGAGAAUUCCCAGGAUUCUCACAAAGAGGAUCUAGAGAGGAUCCUCAUUAAAAAAAAACUAAUGAAAAUGCUUGAAAAUUUUGAGUUUUAACGAUAAAGACAAAAUAAAGGAUAAAGUGAAUAAUACCAUAAUUCACUUUUUAGUGUAAAAAUGUGGUUUUUCGUUAAAAUGAAUAAUAUCAAGAGUUUUUUUGUUAAAAUUCCAAAAAAAAUAUCAAUGAACUAAAAGAUCAUACUUUCCAAUCAAACUAAGCGCUCAUUUAUUUAGAGGAUGAGUAGGAACUUCUACACUAACUCUUCGUGUUUGAAUAAUUUAAGUUUUAUACUUAUGAUCAGAACCGUUCAUAUUAUGAAUCAUUCUAUAAAGAUCAUUCCUACAAAAAAUAAAUUAAACAUAGUGUUUUUAGUCAAUCUAUUGUAACAAAUACAUAGACGGUUUCUAAUGGCUUUUCCAAUUUCGCUCGUCUGUUUUAUACAGUUCGAUGACUAAAUAACUUUAGUUUUAAUUUAUUUUUUGCAGAGAUGAUCUUUAUAGAGUACUUUAUAAUAAGGAGGAUUCUAAUUAUAAAGAUGAAGUUUUAUAAAUCGGCAAUGAACAAUUUUGAUUAGAAACUCUUACUCUUCUUGUGACUUGCCAACUAUUGUUCUUUAUUUGGUUGCUCCAUCCACAUCACAACUUGAAUUUAUGAAUAGCUUAGUAUACAAGGUCAUUUGAAGGGAAUCCUUCACAAGACUUUUAUUAUUCGUUCGAAACGCUAUUAUCACAGUAAAUUAAUUUGUUGCAUGAAAGUUUGCCAUUUGCACCCUACUUGUCAAUCAUUGAGUUGAAAACGUCAAAAGCAUCCUUAAUCAUUGUACAACUUUUGACAGGGGUUAAUUACGCAUACAUUCUUGAGGUUUCUUGAGUCUUUCAAAAACCCCCUCAGGUUUUGAAAGUAACACGAACAUCCGUUGAUGUUUUAAAAUCUUUUAACAAACUCCCUCGAAGGAAAAAAAAAAAUUCCAGAACUAAAAGAAGCGCCGAAAAUUCCAGCAAAAUAGGGUGGAGGAAUUCUCUGCGGGCGAGCGCAUGGAUAGCAAUAGGUUUACGACGCAGAUUGGCUCUCCGUUGAGAUCCAGUGGCUGAAACUCCUCCUGGGUUUUGAUCCAGUGUGGCGCCCAACUACAUCCAUUUAAAAUCCAAAGGCUCGAAUUCAAUUUAAUCAGUUUUAGCGGUAAUAAAAGGUAUCUAAUGGCUCAAAUUUAAAUCCAACAGUAAAAAAAGAAUUAUUAAUUAAUCCAAACUAGAUUCAAAACCAAAACCAUAUAUCUAUAUAAAAAAGGAAAACUAAUGAAAAUGACUUGAAAACUUUGAGUUUUAACGAAAAUGACAAAAUAAAAGGUAAAGUGAAUAGUACCAGGAUUGAUUUUUUAGUGUAAAAAUGUGGUUUUUCGUUAAAAUAAACUGUACCGAGUGCUUUUCAUUAAAAUUCCCUAAAACAAAAAAAAAAUCAAUUUUCUCAUAUUUCACUACCUUUUUUUUUUGGAAUUUGAAUUUUUUUACAUCAAAAUGUUCAUAAAAAUAAAACAAGAUGAUUUUACAAAAACUAAUUCCAAAAUUAUUAGAAAAAAAAUAAAAAAAUCAAUGAAUAAAAAAAGUGUAACAAAAUUAUAAAGUUGAGGGUGAGAAUUAUAGUCUUUGACCGUUGGAGAAAAAAUUAACUAAUCUCGUAUACAUAGAUAAAUAGUUGAAAAUACGAAGCAAAAUUUUGAGAUUUUAACUCCUUGGAUUGGAGAUAGCCUAAUGAUAUCAGUGAAUGAAUACACUGAUCAACUCUUGUUUAUAGAUGUCAUGUGUGGUUGUGUGUCUUUCUCUCUCCUGGAAAUUGCUGAGAUUUAAGUGCGACAUAUGAUCAUCAAAGACUUUUCAAGUCAAGUUUUGGAAUAAAGAUUCCCGAUCAACAUCUAUCAGUCAAGUUAUGUCUUUUUUCUUGUGUAGGCAACGGGCUUGACGAAUUAUCAAUGGAGUCUUCGGCAUGGAUGUCAUCCAAUUUAGGGGUCUUAUAGCGAAUUAGAUGAGUUUAUUUUCUUAAGUUUCAAAGCGUGUCAAAUGGGCGCUUAUUUGAUUUUCUGAUCGUAAAAAACAGUUUAAAUACACUCCAAAAGACUUUUGACACCCAAUAAACUUUUGAACUUUUGAGCACUCAUUCUUAGGGGUUUAGUAAGACAUUAGAUGUGUUUAUUUCCUUAUGUUGCAAAGUGUGUCAAAUGCUGCUUGUUUGGUUCCAUGAAUGCCGAAAACAGUCCAAAUGCACUCUAAAAGGAAAAUUGUGUACUUUUGACACCUAAUCCAAGCAUUUGAUAUUUUGAGUACCCAUUCUUAAGGGUCUAAUAGGAAAUUAGAUGUGUUUAUUUUCUUAAAUUUCGAAGUGUGUCAAAUGCACACUCGUUUAAUCCCGUGGAUGCCAAAACUCUUUCAUAAGUGAUGAUGUUCUCAUGUAAUUUUCAUUAGCGGCGAAUGGAUAAUCCUCUAUUAGUAGGCGAAGACCGUGCAAAUAAUUUUCAUCCUUGAUUGCUGAUGAGUAGAUUUUAUAUUAUAUAUUUUACCCUAAGCUUAGUAUAUUUUGGUUAAUAUAUUGGAAGAAUUUUGAUACUUUGAAUUGUAUUUUCAAUAUAGGACUUUCGAUUUUCUCUUCAGCAAAAUAGGACCAAAUGGACGAAUUUUGGAGUGAUUCCAGUUGGAGGACGUUCGUGAGUCACUUAGCUUGAUCGUAUCAAAAUUUGGGAUUUUUCCAUCAAGAGGUUAUUUUCUGGCGAUAAAAGAAAGAAGCAGUGCGCAGUGCUGGAAAAUGACGUUUUUGGGCUUAAAUGGCGUUUUUGGAGCCCAAGAUGACCUCGGAUGGGUUCGUGGUCUUCUGGAGAAGUGUUCAGAAUAUUCCAAACAUUAAUCCAGCUAUAUUGGGCCAGUUUUGGAGCAGCUUAUGGGUCCAAAACGUGGCUGUUCAGAUUUUGGGCGAAUUUUACCAUUUAAUUUAGGGUUAUGUUUCAUUUUUUAUUUGGAUUAGGGUUUGUGUGGUGGCUCAGGAAAUAUAUUGCUUGGCCGUCUACCGCUUUUUUGGGGGAGAGAACGCUUUCUUUUAUGCAAUUUUGGAGACAGAGAGAAUUGUUAGGGUUUUGGAGAUUUUCUACUUGAAGGUGUUUUCAAUCAUUUUCUUAAGAAUAUUUUCUAUGAUUUCAAUUAUGAAUAUGCGGAACUAAUUUCUAUUGCUAGGGCGAAGUCUUAAGCCUUAGCAUGAAUAUGUGAUUUUUAUUUAAUUGCUUAUGAUUGAUUGCAUGCAUACUUUGAAUUGCUAAUCAUCAGGAUAUAAACUAUCUAAUUGUCUUAAUGCCUGAUCACCAUUAGGAUCGUUAGAAAAGUAAUUUGAUGCAAUUUUGGUCCGAAGGUUCCCUGAAAUUGAUGCUGGCUUCUUGUGAUUAAUAAUUGUAAUUUCACUUAUGAUGAAUAUCACGUUUUAAGGAUUGCAUGGUAUUUCAAAGGAUUUUCAUAAAGCAUAAUGAGUCUUUCAUGUUCAGAUUUGAUCCGAACGUCCGGACGGGUUGCAUGUUAGAUAUACAUUCUAUGUUGAAGGUUCCAAUUAGAAUAUGAAUUAGGAAAAUCUAACCUUCAAAGUGGCAUGUGUAGAUCAUAAGUAAUUGGUAAAAAUUCAUAAGAUUGCUAGGUGAUGGUGGAACCCUAGUACUUUCUUAAUUUGAUUCUCCCAACACUGUUAUCUUUUCUCUCUAGUUCUAAUAUUGCAGAUUGUUUAUUUUAAGUCAUUAAUUUCGUUUUAUUUUAAUUAGGUUAUAAAAUCAAUCACCUCAAUUUCUACUUUACAAUAAUUAGAUGGAAUCUGAUUAGUUUCAAAUUAUUUAAUAAUCCAUGUGGAGACGACCUUGCGAGAUCCGUUUAUACUACAAUAACUUUGUGAUUCUUGCAAGUAAAAUAGGAGAUUUAAGCCCGUUCACAUGAGUAGUCAAAAUCUUAUCAAUUGCCACGCCUCUGUAUUGAUCGAAGGCAAAGCAAUGUGGUUAAAAUAAGAAAUGAACAUUGCUCGUUUGAGUAGCUUUUAUAAUUUUGUUUGAUAAAAUUAUGUCACGUCUAAAGAGAAGAAUUUGAGCAAAGUAUUGUUCAUUGGCAAUGCAAACCCCUUGCCCCACCGGGCCCACCCCCACCCGUCUUGGUCCCCUUAGCUUUUUGGAUUGACGCAUGCAUAAUGCAUACUAGUCUUCUACGCACUAAAGAGAGAAUUGUUGCCUGCAGUAAUCUUCUCUCAAACUAGCUUUACAGGUACAAUCAAUCAUUGCACUAGUCACUGGAAAUAAAUAAAAAAUAUCACUGAACUAAAUGAUCAUACUUUCCGAUCAAAUUAAGCCACUCAUUUAUUUGGAGACAAUGUUUGAUUACUUAAGAUGAAUAUAAACUUCUACUCAAAUCCUUGGUGUUCGAAUCAUUGAGUUUUAUGUUUAUAAUAAGAACUGUUUAUAUUAUGAAUCACUCUGUAAAAUCAUUUCUGCAAAAAAAAUUAAACCUAGGGUCUUUAGUUAAUUUAUUGUAGCAAAUACAUAUAAUUAUUUAGUUCUAAGAGGUCUAAUGAAAAUUAGAUGUGAUUAUUUUCUUAAAUUUCAAAAUAUGUCAAAUACACACUCGUUUGAUGCUGUGAAUGCCGAAAACCCUUCAUAAGUGGAGGCGUUCUCAUGUAAUGUUUAUUGGUAGGCGAAUGGAUAAUCCUCAAUUAUAAGUGGGUGAAGACCGUGCGAAUAAUUUUCAUCCUUGAUUGCUGCCCCUCUGUAUUGAUCGGAGGCAAAGCAAUGUUGUUAAAAUAAGAAAUGAAUAUUGCUUGUUUGAGUAACUUUUAUAAUUUUGUUUGAUAAAAUUAUGUCACGUCUAAAGAGAAGAAAUUGAGCAAAGUAUUGUUCUUUGGCAAUGCAAACCCCUUGCCCCAUCCCCACCCGCCUUGGUCCCUUUGGCUCUAUGGAUUUACGCAUGCAUAAAGCAUACUAGUCUUCUAUGCACUAUGGGAGAAUUGUUGCUUGCAGUAAUCUUAUAUGCUAUAUAGUGCGUCAUACUAACUUCCCAGGUCACAAACAAUCAAUGCACUAGUUACUGGGAAAGAAAACAAAAUAUCAGUGGCAGAUCAUACUUUCCUAUCAAACUAAGCCGCUCAUUUAUUUGGAAAAAAAUGUUUGACUACUAAAGGAUGAAUAAGAACUUGUACUCAAACUCUUCGUGUUCAAAUAAUUGAGUUUUAUACUUAUGAUUAGAACUGUUCAUAUUAUCAUUUUAUGAAUCACUAUGUAAAGAUCAUUUUUGCAAAAACUAAUUAAACCUAGGGUCUUUCGUCAAUCUAUUGUAGCCAAUACAUAGACGGUUCCUAAUAGCUUUACCAAUUCCGCUCGUCUGUGUUUAUACAAUUCGAUGACUAAACGAUCUUAGUUUUAAUUGAUUUUUUUAUAAAGAUGAUCUUUAUAGAGUACUUUAUAAUAGGAAGGAUUCUAAUCAUAAGGACGAAGUUUUAUGAAUCGGCAGCAAACAAUUUUGAUUAGGAACUCCUACUCUUCUUGUGACUAGCAACUAUUGUUCUUUAUUUGGUUGCUCCAUCCACGUCACAAUUUGAAUUUAUGAAAAGCUUAGUAUACAAGGUCAUUUGAAGAGAAUCCUUCACAAGACUUUUAUUAUUAGUUCGAAACGUUAUUAUGACAGUACAUUAAUUUGUUGCAUGAAAGUUUGCCAUUUGCAGCAUUUAUACUUACUAUUGGUUAGAAAACCCUACUUGUCAGUCAUUGAGUUGAAGACGUCAAAAGCACCCUUAAUCAUUGUACAACUUUUGGCAGAGGUUAACUACCCAUACAUUCUUGAGGUUUCUCGAUUCUUUCGAAAACCCCCUUAGGUUUUGAAAGUAACACGAACAUCCAUUGAUGUUUUAAAAUCAUUCCACAAACCCCCUCGAACAAAAAAAAAAAAAAAAAAAAACUACCUAAAGUGAAAGAAGUGCCGAAAAUUUCAAAAAACCCUUAUGACAUAAAACUAGUGUUUGGCUACAAGUUUCGGUAGCCUUAUGCCAAUCGUCUUAGGAAAAUCUUGAAGGUUGUCUCCACGGGUGAUGGGAAACAAAAAAAUACUCAAAAUUUGGGCCUGAAACAUCUCAAAGGGAUGUACUUUUGGUUUGGGGGUGGGAAUUUUCAUUGCUUCCACACUCUGCUCUCGGGUGGAUAAGGUUUUAAGUGGGCCGAAGGCCACAGCUUUUUCUACUCCAUCACGUGAAACAAGCCCACGCAGAUCCAGCGCAAGUCAGCAACAUAAGGUGGAGGAAUUCUCUGCGUGCGAGCGCAUGGAGAGCAACAGGUUUACAGCGCAGAUUGGUUGCCGAUGUGAUCCAGUGGCUGAAGCGCCUCCUGAGUUCUGAUCCAGUGUGGCGCCCAACUACAUCCAUUUAAAACCCAAUGGCUCAAAUUCAAUUUAAUGAGUUUUUGUGAUAAUAAAAGAUAUAUAGUCUUUCACAAAAAAGAAGAUAUAUAAUUACUCAAAUUUAAAUCCAACGGUAAAAAUAAUAUUAAUUAUAAUCCAAAUUAGAUCCAACCCCAAAACUAUAUAAUACCCAUCCAUUUGUUCACUUAUCUAUAAAAUAAAAUAAAAAAUCAAUUUUCUCAUAUUUCACUACCACUUUUUUUUUUUUUUGGAAUUUGAAUUUUUUUUACAUCAAAAUGUUUAAAAAAAUAAAACAAAAUGAUUAUCCAAAAACUAUUUCCAAAAUUAUUAGCAAAAAAAUAAAAAUAAAAAAUCAACAAAUUAAAAAGUUUAACAAAAUUAUAAAGUUGGGGGUGAGAACUAUAGGUCUCUUACGAUUGGAGAAAAAACUGACUAAUCUCGUAUGUAUAGAUAAAUAGUUGAAAAUAUGAAGCUAAAUUUUGAAAUUUUAGCUUCUUGGAUUGGAGAUUGCCUAAUGAUAUCAGUGUAUGAAUGAAUACAUUGAUCAGCUAUUGUUUAUAGAUAUGUCAUAUGUCUGGUUGUGUGUAUUUCUCUCUCAAUGGAAAUUGCUGAGAUUUAAGUGGGACAUAUGAUCAUCAAAGACUUUUCAAGUCAAGUUUUGGAAUAAAGAUUCUCAAUCAACAUCUAUCAGUCAAGUUAAAUCUUCUUUUUUGCGUAUACGUAGGCAGUGGGCUUGAUGAAUUAUCAAUGAAGUCUUUGGCAUGGAUGUCAUCCAAUUUAGGGGUCUUGUAGCGUCUUAGAUGAGUUUAUUUCCUUAAGUUUCAAAGUGUGUCAAAUGUGCGCUCUUUUGAUUUUAUGAACGUCUAAAACAGUCUAAAUACACUUCAAAAGGAAAAACUGUGUACUUUUGACACCCAAUAAGUUUUUGACCUUUUGAGCACUCAUUCUUAGGGGUCUAGUAAGAUAUUAGAUGUGUUUAUUUUCUUAAGUUGCAAAGUGUGUCAAAUGCAUGCUCGUUUGAUUCCAUGAAUGCCAAAAACAGUCUAAAUACAUCUAAAAGGAAAACUGUGUACUUUUGACACCUAAUCCAAUCAUUUGAUAUUUUGAGUACUCAUUCUUAGGGGUCUAAUAGGAAAUUAGAUGUGUUUAUUUUCUUAAAUUUCGAGGUGUGUCAAAUGCACACUCGUUUAAUCCUGUGAAUGCCAAAACUCUUUCAUAAGUGAUGGCGUUCUCAUGUAAUUUUCAUUAGUAGGCGGAUGGAUAAUCCUCUCUAUUAGUAGUAGGCGAAGACUGUGCGAAUAAUUUUCUAUCCUUGAUUGAUGCCCCUUUGUAUUGAUCGGAGGCGAACGGCUCAUCUAUUUUGAUCCCUUAAAAGCUAUAAUAAGUUUUUACCACUGGAUGAAAAUUCAAAGGCUCGAAUCACUUGAUCCGGUGACCUUAAUGGAAGAGAUCCGAAGAGAAUCUCUUUCCGUUUAUAAAUAUGUUAUAUGUGUGGUUGUGUGUGUUUCUCUCUCACUGGAAAUUGCUGAGAUUUAAGUGGGACAUAUGACCAUCAAAGACUUUUCAAGUCAAGUUUUGGAAUUGAGAAUCUUUAUCAACAUCUAUCAGUCAAGUUAUAUAUUUUUUCUUGCAUAGGCAAUGGGCUUGACGAAUUAUCAAUGAAGUCUUCGGCAUGCAUGUUAUCCAAUUUAGGGGUCUUGUAGAGUUUAUUUUCUAAAGUUUCAAAGUGUGUCAAAUACACGCUUGUUUGAUUUCAUGAACGCCGAAAAUAGUCUAAAUACACUUUAAAAGAAAAAAACUGUGUACUUUUGACACCCAAUAAGCUUUUGACCUUCUAAACACUCAUUCUUAAGGGUCUACUAAGAUAUCAGAUGUGUUUAUUUCCUUAAGUUGCAAAGUGUAUCAAAUGCAUGCUCGCUUGAUUCCAUGAAUGUCGAAAAUAGUUCAAAUACACUCCAAAAGGAAAAUUGAGUACUUUGGACACCUAAUUUGAGCAUUUGAAAAUUUCAGUACUCGGUCUUAGAGGUCUAAUAAAAAAAAUUAGAUGUGAUCAUUUUCUCAAAUUUCAAAGUGUGUCAAAUGUACACUCAUUUGAUGCCGUGAAUGCCGAAAACCCUUUCAUAAAUGGAGGCGUUCUCAUGUAAUUUUCAUUAGCAGGCGAAUGGAUAAUCGUCUUUUAGUAAUUGGCGAAGACCGUGCGAAUAAUUUUCUAUCCUUUAUUGCUGCCCCUCUGUAUUGAUCGGAGGCAAAGCAAUGUGGUUAAAAUAAGAAAUGAGUAUUGCUCGUUUGAGUAACUUUUAUAAUUUUGUUUGAUAAAUUAUGCCACGUCUAAAGAGAAGAAUUUGAGCAAAGUAUUGUUCAUUGGCAAUGCAAACCCCCUUGCCCCACGCCCACUCGCCUUGGUCCCUUUGGCUCUUUGGAUUUACGCAUGCAUAAUGCAUACUAGUCUUCUACGGACUGAUAGAAUUGUUGCUUGCAGUAAUCUUAUCUGCUAUAUAGUGCGUCAUACUAGCUUCGCAGGUCACAAACAAUCACUGCACUAAUUACUGGAAGAAAAAAAUAAAUCUCAGUGAACUAAAAGAUCAUACUUGCUUAUCAAAUUAAGCCGCUCAUUUAUUUGGAAACAAUGUUUGACUGCUUAAGGAUGAAUAAGAACUUCUACUCAAAUUCUUCGUGUUUGAAUCAUUAAAUUUUGUGCUUAUGAUUAGAAUUGUUCAUAUUAUGAAUCACUCUGUAAAUACCAUCUAUGCUAAAUUAAACCUAGGGUCUUUAGUAAAUUUAUUGUAGCCAAUACAUAGACGGUUCUUAAUGGCUAUACCUUCCGCUCAUCUAUUUUUAUACAGUUCGAUGACUAAACAACCUUAGUUUUAAUUUGUUUUUUGCAGAUGUGAUCUUUAUAGAGUACUUUAUAAUAGGAAGGAUUCUAAUCAUAAGGACGAAGUUUUAUGAAUCGGCAACAAACAAUUUUGAUUAGGAACUCCUACUCUUCUUGUGACCAGCCAACUAUUGUUCUUUAUUUGGUUGCUCCUUCCACAUCACAACUUGAAUUUAUGAAGAGCUUAGUAUACAAGAUCAUUUGAAGGGAAUCCUUCACAAGACUUUUAUUAUUAGUUUGAAACGCUAUUAUGACAGUAUUAAUUUGUUGCAUGAAAGUCUGCCAUUGGCAGCAUUUAUACUUACUAUUGGUUAGAAAACCCUACUUGUCAAUCAUUGAGUUGAAAACGUCAAAAGCACCCUUAAUUGUUAUACAACUUUUGACAGAGGUUCAUUACGCAUACAGUCUUGAGGUUUAUUGAUUCUUCCCAAAACCCCCUCGAAUUUUGAAAGUAACACGAACACCCGUUGAUGUUUUAAAAUCAUUCCACAAACUCCCUCGAAGAAAAAAUAAACUACCAGAAGUGAAAGAAGUGCCGAAAUUUCCAGAAAACCUUAUGACAUAAAACUAGUGUUUGGCUACAAGUUUCGGUUAGCCUUAUGCCUAUCAUAUUAGGAAAAUCCUAAGGUUGUCUCCAAGGAUGAUGGGAAACAUACUCUAAUUUUAGACCUGAUAAAUCUCAAAGGGAUGUAUUUUUGGUUUUUGGGGUGGGAAUUUUGAUUGCUUCCCCUCUCUCCCCUCGGUGGAUAAGGUUUUAAGCAAGGUUUAAAAUAUCGAUGAUAUCGGAAAUAUCGGUAGUCCAAAAACACGGAAAUUUCGAUGGAAAUAUCAGGAUAUUAUCGAUAUCGAUAAAAAUUGAAUAAAAACCACGGAAAUUGUAAGAAAAACUUGGAAAUUUUUAUUGAAACUUUGCAGGAUGUUUAUUUAGUCAAUUAUCUAUUAGUUUAUUACAAAAAAAUUGGAAGGAAAUGCAUUGCAUGAUGGAUUUAACUGAUUUAAGUUGAUUAUAUAGCGAGCUGACAAACAUUGUGAGUAUAGAAAAUAUGUAGUAAAUAGUAAUUAAUGAAAGAAGUUUAAACACACCAUAAUCAUUUAUGGGUAAAUUACAUAGUAGCCCAUCAGGUUUGAGGUUUAUUACAACCUCAUACAACAUCUUUAAAACAUUUCACUUUCAUACCUCAUGUACUUUUUUAUUUCAAAAUAACACCUCCGUUAGAUUUUCCAUCCAUUAGUCUGUUAAAUGCUGACAUGGCUGCCACAUUUGUGUUGAUGUGGUUGCCACGUGGCAAAAAAAAUAAUUUUUAACUUUUUAAAAAAAAAACCUAAAUCUUCCAAAAAAAAAAAAAAGCAUAAAAACCCUAACCCAGAUCCCCUUUCUUCCCCCUCUCCUCUCUGCAAUCCCUACCCACUAUCUCUCACCCACCCCCCAACGACCUCCCCCCAAUCAACCCACAUCCCUAUCCCUAACCUAGAACCUAAAAACCUGCAACAACAACAAGAAGAAGAAGAAGAGGAAGGAGGAAAAGAAAAAAAAAAAACCCCAGUUCAUCCCCCUAAAACCUGCAACAAGAAGAAGAAGAAGAGGGAGAAAAAAAAAGAGAAAAAAAAAAAAAAAGCCCAGUUCGCGGGAAAGUUGUCAGAAGGUCCGGGGGGGGGAAGCGAGGUGGGUCGUGGGUCGCGGGUCGUGGGUCGUGGCAGGGCCGGGGGGUUUUCUCUCUCGGAUCUCUCACUCUUUCACUCUUUAUCUCUCUCUCGGACUCUUUCUACGACAGUACACCCACGCACGCACCCAUUUACACAACCACGCACGCACCGAAGACACACCACCACCACUGAGCUUCAAAAUCCCAAGCGGGAAAUCCGACUUGAAGUCGUUGUGGCUGAUGCCGAGGAUCCUGAGGUUGAAGAGCUCGAAAAUGGCGGGCUGGAGAGGGCCGUGAAAGGUGUUGCCACUCAAAUUGAGGUGGAUUAGUGAAGAAAGGUGGCAGAUUUGUGGUGAGAUUUGGCUGGAGAGGUUGCAGCGGGAGAGGUCGAGGGAAACAGAGGGAAGGAGGAGGAAGAAAGAGAAGGUACAUUCAUGGUUUUGGGGGUGUGGGGAAGGUGUUGGGUGAGAGUGAGAGUGAGAAGGAGAGUGUGUUGGGAAAUUUAAGGGAAUGGGGGUCUUGAUGGCUGCUUAUGGGUUUUCUAAAGGGAUGGGGUUUCGGUGGCCGGGGAGGGGGGGAAGUGGUGGGAUCUGGGUUUUCUAAGGUUUUUUUUUUUUUUUUUUUUUUUUUUUUUGAAGAUUUAGGUUUUUCUAAAAAAAAAUAAAAUUUUUUUUGCCACGUGGCAGCCACAUAAGCACAAAUGUGGCAGCCACGUCAGCAUUUAACAGACUAAUGGAUGGAAAAUCUAACGGAGGUGUUAUUUUGAAAUAAAAUAGUACAUGAGGUAUGAAAGUGAAAUGUUUUAAAGAUGUUGUAUGAGGUUGUAAUAAACCUCAAACCUGAGGGGCUACUAUGUAAUUUACCCAUCAUUUAUAUAUAAUGAAUUAGUACAAUAUUUUGAAUCUCAUAGGAACUCUGUACAUUGCAUAUAUAAUGAAUUGUACUAAUUCAUUAUAUAUUUUACACUUUCUACAUUACAUGGUAGAUUGUUACACCCACCCCUAAUUUAAAUUGUAUUUUCACUAAGUUUGAGUUUAUUUUACUUAUAAAAUUGUUUUUGAGUCUUAAUAGGUGUGCUAUGGGGCCUACCUUUGUUCGUUGUUCCCUGGGUCCAAGCCUAUCUCUCUCUCUCUUCUCUUUCCCUCCCUCACACUCUCUUCCUUUUCCUCUUCUUCCCCGAGUCUCUCUGUGUUCUCUCAUCUUCCCAUCGAACACACACACAUCCAAUCACCGCACACCCUUCGUAGUACUCCGUCAACGACAUCAUUAUCACCAUCUAAACCUCGUCUUUCUCUCCCUUUCUCUCGGUGUUGCUAGGACAGUGGAACCCAGGAACUCUCCGGCGAGUUCUCUUGAUCCUUCUCCGGUUAGGUAAGCCUCAGGUUACCUCAAUUCAUUUUGGAUGUUGUGUGGUUGAGAUAUACUAAGUUUUAUCUCGUUUUUUUAACAAGGUUUUAGAACGAGAUUGACCCGGGGAAAGCACACUCAGCUCCGGCGAGGCCGUGAGUGUCGAGGAACUUUUCGAACACCUCCGACCGUUUCAUGGCAAACAGAAGGAAUAAAAACAUUCCUCUCGUCUUGUGUUUCAUUUUGAUACCUAGAUCGGAGUCUAUGGUGCUCUUUUACAGUCGGCCGGAGUUGUAGAAGCUCUGGCGUUCUUCUCCGAUUCGCACCAGUCCUAAAAUAUUGCGAUAUUAUCAAUAAUAUCUCGAUAAUAUCGAUAAUCGCGAUAUAUUGACGAUAAUUAAGUAGAUAAAUGUAAAAAUAUUGCUCUCUCACAAAAACGAUAUUAUCGGCGAAAUAUCGAUAUUUUAUACCAUGAUUUUAAGUGGCCCGAAGGCCCUAGCUUUUUCUAUUCCAUAACGUGAAACAAGGCCCACGCAGGCCCAACGUAAGUCAGCAACAUAAGGUGGAGGAAUUCUCUGCGGGCGAGCGCAUGGAGAGCAACAGGUUUACGGUGCAUAUUGGCUCGCCGUUGUGAUCCAGUGGCUGAAGCGCCUCCUGGGUUCGGAUCCAGUGUGGCGCCCAACUACAUCCAUUUAAAAUCCAAAGGCUCAAAUUCAAUUUAAUCAGUUUUUGCGGUAAUAAAAGAUAUCUAAUGGCUCAAAUUUAAAUCAAACGGUAAAAAUAAUUUUAUUAAUUAAUCCAAAUUAGAUCCAACACCAAAAUUAUAUAAUACCCAUCCAUAUUGUUCACUUAUCUAUAAAAUAAAAUAAAUCAAUUUUCUCAUAUUUCACUACUUUUUUUUUUGAAUUUUUUUACAUCAAAAUGUUCAUAAAAAUAAAACAAGAUGAUUAUACAAAAACUUAUUCCAAAAUUAUUAGCCAAAAAAAAAAGAAAAAAGAAUGAAUUAAAAAGUUUAACAAAAUUAUAAAGUUUUUUUUUUUAGGAAAACUAAUGAAAAGGGCUUGAAAACUUUGAGUUUUAACGAUAAGGACAAAAUAAAUGGUAAAGUAAAUAGUAUCAGGAUUGACUUUUUAGUGUAAAAAUGUGGUUUUUCGUUAAAGUGAAUAGUAUCGGAAACUUUUCGUUAAAGUUCCCUUUUUUUGGGGAGGGGGGUGAGAAUUAUAGGUCUCUUACCGUUGGAGAAAAAAAAACUUACUAAUCUCUUAUGUACACAUAAAUAGUUAAAAAUACGGAGCUGUUGUGGUCUAUUUUUAUCUGACAAAAUAGAGAGGGCCGGCGGCAGUGGGAGAGAGAAGAGAGAUGUGUGUUUGUAGAAUUGUAGGGGAAUGUGUGUGUUGUUAUCCCUCAUACAUUGUGCCUUUAUUUAUAGUAGUAAAGGGAGAGAAUAUAUUCCUUCUCCUCCAAGUAAUACAAGUUGUAAUAGGAAAGGAUAACUAGAAUCAAAUCUAAUCUAGGAUUUACACAAUCAUACUUAUUCUAGGAAUGUUUACAAAACUCCCCCUUGAGUGUGCAAAUACUUAAGGUAGAUUUAGCAUCAUGCAGAAGUUGAGGAAGUCGACUCGUCGGCACUGAUUCCAAGGAACAACGCUUAUUCUCAAUAAGGUAGGAACUUGCAUAAGUAGUAAGUCUCACUAAAAAAAACCCUAAGGCUAUGGCAAAAACCCAAGUAGGGACAAAAUCCAUAGUCUAAGGAAAAAUGCGUGAGAAAUGCAAAGUCAAAAGAAACGUCUACAGGAUGUCAUCAGGGAUAUGACCAGCCCAAGGUGGGUGCCUCGUUAAAACCUAGUUAAGUAGCAAAAACUCAGUGGGAAAAAUGCUCCUAAUCGUAGGGAAAAAGAGUACAUUAAGAUCAAGCAAGUAUCCAGAAGAUACUCCUCCUGAGUUUGACAUAAUUCCAAAGAGAAAUAGCAAAGUUACAACUCAGAAAGUUUACGCAUACCAAUUCCAUGAACAAGCUUCUGAAACGUCGCAUUCGGUAGUGAUUUGGUGAAGAGGUCGGCCAGAUUGUCUUGUGAUCGGAUUUGUGUGACUUCAAUCUUCUGAUGCUCUUGUUGUUGAUGUGUAAAGAAGAACUUCGGCGCAAUAUGCUUGGUGUUGUCUCCUUUGAUGUAACCCUUCUUGAGCUGUUCGAUGCAAGCUGCGUUGUCUUAAAAAUCGUUGUCGGGGCAUUAACGACGGGAUGAAGAUCACAUGAGCUUCGAAUAUGGCCCAUUACUGCUCUCAACCAAAAGCAUUCCCGAGUUGCUUCAUGUAAGACGAGAAUUUCAGCAUGGUUAGACGAAGUGGCAACUAAGGUCUGUUUAGUUGACCUCCAAGAUAUUGCGGUGCCUCCAACGGCAAAGCCAUAACCCGUUUGAGAACGCGCCUUGUGCGGAUCAGAUAAGUAUCCAGCGUCGGCAUAACCAACAAGGCGAGAAUCAACCCGAUGAGCAUAGGGUGCGGCAUCACUCGAGGAUUCGUAGGGAUAAAAUAAGCCCAAAUCCGUAGUACCCUUAAGGUAACGGAAGAUGUCUUUCACGCUAGUCCAAUGUCUGCGUGUUGGUGCAUUGCUGUAUCUUGCCAAAAGAUUAACAGCGAAGGAGAUAUCGGGUCUAGCGCAUUGAGCUAAGUACAAUAAAGUGCCUAUCGCACUUAGAUAAGGAACUUCAGGCUCCAAAAUCUCUUCAUCAUCCUCCUUCGGACGGAAUGGAUCUCGCUUUGCAUCUAGCGUACGAACGACCAUAGGAGUACUCGAAGACUUCGCUUUAUCCUCAUUAAAACGGCGCAACACCUUCUGGGUGUAGUUUGAUUGAUGUACUAAGAUUCCAUCCGAACAAUGCUCUAUCUCGAGACCGAGACAGUAUCGAGUCUUUCCUAGAUCUUUCAUCUCAAAUUCCGACUUCAGGUGCGAAGCAGUUCUCGCGAGCUCUUCAGGAGUUCCGAUGAGAUUCAUGUCAUCGACAUAUACUGCAACAAUCGCAAAUCCGGAAUGUGACUUCUUAAUGAACACACAAGGGCAUAGUUCGUUGUUCACAUAUCCCUGACUAGUCAAAUACUCACUCAGAUGGUUAUACCACAUUCUUCCGGAUUGUUUCAAACCGUAUAGUGAACGCCUCAGCCGAAUUGAGAGCGUGUUCCGGGGUUUGGAAAUAUUUGAACCAGUCAAUGUAAGUCAUUCGGGAACUUUCAUAUAAAUUUUCGUAUCAAGAUCCCCAUAGAGAUACGUGGUUACUACGUCCAUCAGCUGCAUAUCCAGUUUUUUGGAAACUACCAAACUGAUAAGGUAUCGAAAAGUAAUCACAUCCAUAACGGGUGAGUAAGUUUCGUCAUAGUCAAUCCCGGGGUGUUGUGAGAAACCUUGUGCUACAAGACGAGCUUUGUAACGCACAAUUUCGUUCUUCUCAUUACGCUUCCGAACGAAAACCCACUUGUAGCUAACGGGCUUCACAUGUGGAGGAGUAGGAACUACAGGUUCAAACACGUUACAUUUCGCAAGUGAAUCAAGUUCGACUUGGAUUGCUUGUUUCCAGUUUGACCAAUCAGCUCUACGUCGACAUUCAUCAACGGAACGCGGUUCAAUGUCAUCGUUCAACAUGAUCUCAGUAGCUACUGCAAAUGCUAAUGCAUCGUCGACAAUCAUCUCAUUUCUACGCCACACAUAAUCUAAGCUAGCAUAAUAGACCGAAAUCUCACAAUUCUCGAGAGGAGGAUUCGUCUCUUCAAGGACACUUCCAUAAUCUAGAAUUUCCUCAUGAGUUGGGUAAAAUGAGUAAGCGAUAGUCGGAUUCACGGUAGGCUCUUCAGGACCUUGUGCCGUGGUUUUCCUCUUCCGGGGGUGUGAAUCCUUUGAACCAAGGGGUCUGCCACGCUUUUGUGUAGGGGCAGAUGAUUGGCUAGCCGCUAAUGUACGUGGAUCACCAGAAUUGGCGUCCCGGGCUUCCAGGAGGGUAGUCCGUCAUACAUUUGGUACAUCUAUCUUUGCAGGGGUAUUCGCAGCUGGAAUAUGUGAUCUUGUCACGCGCGCUAGAUCGGUGAAAGCAUCUGGCAUGCUCUGAGCUAUGCUCUGGAGAUCUAAUAUGCGCUGCACUUCAGCUUCAGACUGAGCGGUGCGGGGAUCUAAAUGAGACAAAGUGGGAGUCGUCCAUGAUAAUUCGCGUCGUUCAUUAGGAACGUUGACAUUCUUAUCUCCCCCUAACGGCGGGAAGACUGUUUCAUAGAAGUGACAAUCCGUGAAACGAGCGGUAAACAGAUAGCCUGUCAAAGGUUCUAAGUAACGAAUAAUCGAAGGAGAAUCAUAUCCGACAUAGAUUCCCAUCCUUCGCUGAGGCCCCAUAUUUGUAUGUAAGGGCGGUGAAAUCGGCACAUAAACCGCAUAACCAAAAACGCGCAGAUGCGAUAUGUCGGGUUCGCAUCCGGUGACCAACUGAAGGGCACUAAAUGGUUGUGUCGCAACAGGCCUCAGGCGGACCAACUUUGCUGCGUGCAAUAUUGCAUGGCCCCAAGCAGCGAUCGGGAGCUUGGUACGUAUGACCAACGAUCGAGCAAUCAUUUGUAAACGCUUAAUGAAAGCCUCUGCCAGGCCGUUCUGGGUGUGAACAUGGGGUACAUGAUGUUCAACUUCAACCCCAAUCGACAUGCAAUAGUCAUCAAAAGUUUUAGAUGUGAAUUCUCCAGCAUUAUCCAAUCGAAUAGAUUUGAUCGGAUAAUCAGGGUGGUGAGCCCUGAGCUUGAUAACCUGAGCCAACAGUUUGGAGAAUGCAGCGUUCCUUGUGGACAACAAGCACACGUGUGACCAACGUGUAGAAGCGUCAACCAAAACCAUAAAAUAUCUAAAUGGUCCGCAAGGAGGUUGAAUCGGUCCACAAAUGUCCCCCUGAAUCCGUUGUAGAAAAAUGGGAGGAUUCAAACGAAUCUUGUCAUAAGAAGGCUUAGUAAUAAGCUUUCCCAUAAAACAUGUUUGACAUGCGAUUUCAUGGAUCGAACCUAAGCUUCGGGUUAGUGGAUGCCCGUGUGAAGUUUUGAGGAUACGACGCAUCGCUAUUCGUCCAGGAUGUCCCAAACGAUCAUGCCAAAGUGUAAUUUCGUGCGCGGUCCCUGUGGUAGGGCCGGCCACAUAGUGGCAUUCGAUGGGGCGUAUGGUCGUAGUAUACAGACCACUCGGGUUACGCUUCAUCUUCUCUUGAAUACGCUUCUGGCCAUAUUCGUAGGAAGUUACGCACAGAAAUUCAACUCCGUUUUCUACGUGGGUUUCAGCGUUGUAAUUGUUAUCUCUAAUGUCCUUGAAACUUAGUAACGUUCUUCCGGAACGUGGAGAAUAGAGUGCCUCAGCAAUGGUCAAGAUUGUACCGUUGGACAACAUUAUACGUGCAUUACCGUAUCCUUCUAUCAGGUUGGAUGGGCCUGAGAGGGUUGUCAGAGGUGCAUUCUUAGGUACGAAGUAAGUGAAAUAGAUGCGUUCACGCAAAACAGUAUCCGUGGUUGCACUAUCUGCCAGACAACUAACUUUCCCACUAGUCAUACCUAGAAUGAAAAAUUAAUUUGAAUUGGUCAUAUGCAUAAAAGUUUAUAAAAACAAGUAUCAAUUCAAAAUAAUUUCAUUUAUUCAAGGAUUAAAACUGAAUAUCCAAAAUAAAUCGCCAACUAAUAAUCCAAAACAUAAAGGAAAAUUGUUCAAAAUCAACCAAAAACAAGGUGGGGUGCGGCCACUAUGUGGAAUUCGGCCCCAAUUGUUUUAUUUCAACUAAAAAAGAAGUCUAUGUCUAAGAUUCUAAUCUUCCAUAGGAGUGAUAUCCUCAUGAAAGUUAGAAACCUCCAUCUUUGUAGUCUCCGUUUCCUCCACUUGCAUGAAGUUUGAUUUAAACUUCUUACGACGAGAAUGAUAUUCAUCUACAACCUUCUUGGGAGCACGGCAAAUACGGGACCAAUGGUCAUUUGAACCACAACGAUAGCACAUAUCGUCAUUCAUUGUGGUAAGUGCUUUGCCCUUAUUCUUGAAGUUUGGGGCCUUGGGAGCGAGGUUUGGGCGCUUCUGGGCUUUGUUUCCUCCCUUGGAUGAGCUUUGACUCUGUUGACCUUGGUGGGAUGGCUUCUGGCCGCCCUUACCACGCAUCUUUUGGCGUUUUGGGUGCUGAUUAGUGCUAUAAUGUGCUUCAGGCACAGCAGUAGCCCCAGUAGGUCAAGCUUGAUGAUUCUUCAUCAACAGCUGGUUCUGCUUUUCAGCAAGAAGUAAAACAGAGAUCAAAUCCGAGAACUUAGUGAACUUCUAAGCUCUAUAUUGUUGCUGCAGGACAAUAUUAGAAGCAGAGAAGGUCGAGUAGGUCUUCUCCAGGAGAUCCUCUUCAGUCAAAGUUUCAUUGCAAAACUUGAGAAGUGAUCGGAUUCGACAAACUUCAGAAUUAUAUUCAUUCAGACUUAAAGUCUUGGAAGCGCAAGUGCUGCCAGUCGUGUCUUGCUUCAGGCAAGAAUAUGUCUUUUUGGUGAUCGAAACGAUCAGCCAAAGCGACCUAUAAUGCACGUGGAUCCUCCUCAGCAAGGUACUCAGUUUGCAGAGCGUCAUGAAUAUGUUUUCGGAUGAAGAUCAUAGCAGUAGCUUUUUCAGCUUCGCCAACAGGUUCAGUUGUUGCUUUUUCAAUAGCAGGACGCAAGUUCUUGGCAGUGAGGUGAAGCUUCACAUCUUGAACCGACUUGAGGUAGUUCCUUCCAGAGACCUCCAAAGUGGUGAAGUCGAGUUUGUUCAAAUUCGACAUGUUCCUAUCACAAAUAGAUGGACAAGAUGUGGUUAGUGUAAUGGAGAAAAAUCAAUCCAUUCACAUAGGAGUAGAACAUACAGGUUCUAAUAGACAUGUAUUGGUUUAAUUUGCAUGAAAAACUUCGGGUUUUCAUGGGUGAUAUGUUUAAGAGAAAACUUCAGGUUUUCAAACAAGGCAUGUUUAUAAGAAACUUCGGGUUUCAAAGUAAUUAUGAACUUCAGGUUCAUAUAUUCUUGCAGACAAACACAAAUAUAUAUGCAAACAAAUAUGCAACAAAUAUAUGCAAAAAUAUUGUAUAAUGAUAAUUGAAUUAAUUUAUUUGGUCUUUGUGGCCAAAUUAAAGUGUGGGUGAAAAUAUAAAAACCCAUAUUAUUUAAAAAUAUUAAAUAAUAAAAUCUCGGGGCCUAAAAAUAUAGGCAAAGCCCACAGGUGGCACAUGGAGCUCACGGGGAGACAUGGGCAAGGGGAAUGGGCUGCUGUGUGCAGCCCAAAAAAAAAAAAUUUCUUUUUUUUUUCUCACGGGUCGUUUCAGGCGUGCCAAAAAAAUUUUGUUUUUUUUUUCUUUUCCCGCACGGGCUGGACCGUGACAUCUCAGAGCAGCAGCAAGCCCAAAGGGCUCUGAUGCAGGUCGAGGGACAGGAGCCCACUAGGGCUCGGGUUUUUGGGAUUAAACACCCCAGCGAGUGCUGGGUGUGUGUCGCCGGAGAAGAACACCGGACCUGGCGCUUCUGGCGUCGGUCGGGGUGUUGUUUAAGACUCGAUUUGAGUCAUGGUGACCAUGGCUGCAGGCCAUGUUGGUUGACGUUUUCAUGGGUGGCGACGCCUUCUGGGCGUCGGGUCUGGGUGUUGGGCCUGGAGCCGUGGCUCCAGGAUUGGUUCUCGACUCGGGAAAGCAUGGGGAUGAGUUGGGCCAUCGCAGGCUGCGGGCCUGGUGGCUUGUGGCUUGCAUGGUGCAAGUGCACGGGUUCGAACAUAACCCUAAUUCCCCAAUCGCAAAAAUUUAUAUUUUAUUUUAUAUUUUUAUUUUUAUUCAAUUAUAUAUAUGCAUGUAUCUUAAGAAUCAUAUAUUUACGUUGAUACAUAUGCAAAUAAUAGUUUCAAUGCAUGUACAUAGUAAAUUCAAUUCAUGGCAAAAUCAAAUUCACAUAAUUGUAGAAUUUUUUUAUGAAGCAUACACAAUUUAUGUAGAAUCUAAAAACUUUAAACGUAAGGUUCAUGCAUCAUGGUGAAUGUUCAUGCUAUCAGGGCUUGAAAAUAUCGAGUUAAAAACCGUUGUUUUGGAAGAACUGAUUGCGUGAUAUAUGGAUGAAAUAGUUGAAUGUUUUGAAAGAAAAAAUCCAACGUAUAUUCCCUACAGCGCAGCGGUAGGAGCGUGUUUGAUAACGUUGGUGGUCUAUUUUUAUUGACAAAUAGAGAGGGCGGCGGGCAGUGGAGAGAGAGAGAGAGUUUUUGUUUAGGAAUUAGGGGAAUGGCUGUGUUGUUAUCCCUCCACAUUGUUACCUUUAUUUAUAAUAGUAAAGGGAGAGAAGAUAUUCCUUUCCCUCUCCAAGUAAUACAAAUUGUAAUAGGAAAUGAUAGACUAGAAUCAAUCUAAAUCAGUUUUACACAAUCAUACUUAUUCUAGGAAUGUUUACAACAGGAGCUAAAUUUUAAGAUUUUAGCCUCUUCAAUUGGAGAGAACCUAAUGAUAUCAAGCAUAUAAGGUAUGGUCGUUAAUUAUUAUUUUUUGGUUAAAUCCACAGCGAGGAUAAAUCAACUUGUUUGGUGUCUCGAAUGAUGAACCUCUCCUCAGCCACUACACUUCCCUAAUUAUUGCUAUUGAUAGUUGUUCAGAAAUACAUCAGUCUGGCUAUCUUUUCUAUCGCGUAGGUAUUGGACGAAAUAUGUCAAAGUCUUUUUGGCAUGCUUGUCAUCAAUUGGAUCUGAAGUGAAUUUUUGUAUUUUUUAUUUUUUGUACACUUACAUUACCUUUUAUUUUCAUUUUUCUUUUGAUUUGUUUAAUUGGAAAAACUAAAAAAACAGGAGUGUACAAAGUCUAAACUAAUCGUAUCGGAUUCGGGCAGUUUAGUACUGAGUACAGUGAAAAAGAAUGCAAUUGGAACAUAAUUCUCUUGAAUUAGUUUUGUAUUGAAAUACAAUUGCUUUCUGGCCAAACGUUGCUCGCGUCAUCUUCCGUUUUGAUCAUUAAUUUCAGAAGAAGAUUGUUGCGGAUAUACAUUGAAUGGAUUCAUUGCUAGCACAACCUUGUUCAGUACUAACGCCACCAUCACCAUUACUUGCAUUGCUUUUUUGAUGAAGCUGCAAUGCAAACUCAAGCCCCCUCACAACCUCAUUCAUUGAAGGUCGUUCAACUCCUUUAUCAUGAAUGCAACUCAUAGCAAUCUCAACGAACCUAUUCAGGCACUCGGCUUCAAUUUUACCCUUCAAGUUACAAUCAAUGAUUUGAUCAAGUGUUCCCUCUCCAUGGCAAAAUCUGGCCCACUCCGCGAGGUUCAUUUCCCUCGGCUCCACUUUAUGCAUCAGCGCUGGCCUUGCACACAAUACUUCCCACAAAACCACACCAAAUGAGUACACGUCAGACUUCUCAGUAAGCUGUUGGCGUCUGUAGUAUUCUGGAUCUAGAUACCCAAAACUGCCUUUGACCAUUGUACUGAUGUGAGUCUUAAAAGCGGUGGUCAUUCCCAUUUUUGACAACCCGAAAUCCGAAACCUUGGCCACCCAUUUCUCAUCUAACAAUAUAUUGGUGCUUUUCACGUCACGGUGGAUGAUAGUGCCCUUGGCACCGCUGUGAAGGUAGCGCAACCCUCGCGCGGCUCCAAUGCAAAUUUGGAGGCGUUUUGGUCCCCAAGAGAUUGUCGGCCAGGGUCCCACGUGACAUGUAAUCGUACACCAAGACCAUCUCAUUUUUAUCCGUGCAAUAUCCGAUGAGAGACACCAAAUGACGGUGGCGGAGUUGGGAGAGCAGCUCGAUUUCCGUCUUGAACUCGUUGGCCCCCUGUGAAGACUCGGGUUUCAGUCGUUUGAUCGCAACCGGGGUAGCCCCACCAUCGAUAUACCCUUUGUACACAUUGCCAAAUCCGCCAACACCAAUAAUGAAAGUAUCAUUGAAGUUUUCGGUGGCGGCUUUGAUCUCCUUUAGCGAAAAGUAGUGACACAAAUCGGACGGCAGAGUUGAGCCGCCCCGUGACUUGGUUGAGUUUGCCGCUCUGCGGUUAGAGUGUACGUAGCCCUUGACAUAUUUCCGUCGGUGUCUAAAAACCAAGGGUAACCCUAGUACGGAAAACACUACGAGUGCGGCGGAGACUGCACCAGCAACAACGGCAAUAAAAUGAGUCCUUGACUUGGAAAGAUUUUUGCUUGAUGGGAUCACUUCUUGGGGAUGAGGAUGUGGGGGAUCGGGGUCUGGUCUGGCGAGAUUACCAUUUGUUUCAUUCAGUUUGAAGAUCUCCAGCCCGUUCAAAAUGAAGCGUCUUCCAAUGUUCAAGGCUUGCUUAGUCUUCCUCGUUCGGGGGCCGGGCCUUGAAGAAACAACAUUUCUCUGUACGUUGGAAUCCCAUUCCCGCCACUCCACUGGAUUAUGUCGGCUCGUGUUUCCGCCGUUUGAUUGGCUAUGUAGAUCAGAAACACUCGGUCACCAAUCUCUCUAAUUUCAGGCUGAAGCUCACAAAAAUGAAGCCUAACCAGGUAAUAAAACUUGGGAGGGACAGGAAAUCCCCAGGUGAGGUUGUGCCGCUGGUUGAUGGUGGGGUCUGGGCCCAUAGACCUCCCGGUUUUGUAAACUUGUUCCGGAGCGGAGUAGUUGGGUGCUUUUGCAAAGUUGAGAUGAAAGUUGAGAUGAAGGCUUGCGUUAACUGGUUGAGCGCUGAACCAAAAACUUGCAUUAUCCAAGAAAGUUUGCUCAUACAAAUAGUUCCCAGUUGGUACAUGCGGUGUCUUUUAUUGAAAAACAACCGCCCGCCUAUGUUGAUUCUGUAAACCGUCUCCAUAGCAGUGUUGUUUUCAACGCGAAUUGGAUUUUCGGUGCCUAUGAUUUCAAUAUCAAGGUCUUCUGGUGCAGUGUAGUAUAGAUUUGGGGGCAUGGACACAAUUUCAAUUCCGUUGAUAAACGCAUAAGCAUCUGGGCUUGCUUUGCUUCGACUUGGAGUGAAUGUGAUGUUUAGACUUUGUUCUUCUUCCUCAAUGUUGAUGCAGAAUUCUCUGUAUAAUGUCUCCACCCCAUCAGCAUCGGGAUUCACAGAAGCAUUGAAGUCGAGAAGGUAAAAAAUCACUGCCUUGACAGAAAAGAGCGCUUUGGAGCGGUCAAAGUCAGGGUACGAAACAAGGUAAAAGUACAAGCGGAUGAACUUUCCGGCGGUGAGGUUAAAUCUGUAAGUAAAUUCAGAGCGAGAAAGCCGAACUGUGCUGUAAGGAAUUUGGGAGACAGAGAACGAGCGAGGUGCUUCUUUGAACAUGGAUGUGUUACCACCAGCUGCUCGGUGUACCUCUAUGGGGGUAAACUUUGAGUUGAU